rnacentral:tRNA from 1 species
GGACAGAUGACCGAGUGGCUUAAGGUAGCGGUUUACUAAACCGCCGUACCCUAACGGGUACCGUGGGUUCGAAUCCCACUCUGUCCG